ACGCUGGCGGCGUGCCUAAUACAUGCAAGUAGAACGCUGAAGAGAGGAGCUUGCUCUUCUUGGAUGAGUUGCGAACGGGUGAGUAACGCGUAGGUAACCUGCCUUGUAGCGGGGGAUAACUAUUGGAAACGAUAGCUAAUACCGCAUGACAAUGGGUGACACAUGUCAUUUAUUUGAAAGAGGCAAUUGCUCCACUACAAGAUGGACCUGCGUUGUAUUAGCUAGUAGGUGAGGUAACGGCUCACCUAGGCGACGAUACAUAGCCGACCUGAGAGGGUGAUCGGCCACACUGGGACUGAGACACGGCCCAGACUCCUACGGGAGGCAGCAGUAGGGAAUCUUCGGCAAUGGGGGCAACCCUGACCGAGCAACGCCGCGUGAGUGAAGAAGGUUUUCGGAUCGUAAAGCUCUGUUGUAAGUCAAGAACGAGUGUGAGAGUGGAAAGUUCACACUGUGACGGUAGCUUACCAGAAAGGGGCGGCUAACUACGUGCCAGCAGCCGCGGUAAUACGUAGGUCCCGAGCGUUGUCCGGAUUUAUUGGGCGUAAAGCGAGCGCAGGCGGUUUGAUAAGUCUGAAGUUAAAGGCUGUGGCUCAACCAUAGUUCGCUUUGGAAACUGUCAAACUUGAGUGCAGAAGGGGAGAGUGGAAUUCCAUGUGUAGCGGUGAAAUGCGUAGAUAUAUGGAGGAACACCGGUGGCGAAAGCGGCUCUCUGGUCUGUAACUGACGCUGAGGCUCGAAAGCGUGGGGAGCGAACAGGAUUAGAUACCCUGGUAGUCCACGCCGUAAACGAUGAGUGCUAGGUGUUGGAUCCUUUCCGGGAUUCAGUGCCGCAGCUAACGCAUUAAGCACUCCGCCUGGGGAGUACGACCGCAAGGUUGAAACUCAAAGGAAUUGACGGGGGCCCGCACAAGCGGUGGAGCAU
rnacentral:rRNA from 1 species